rnacentral:rRNA from 1 species
UACGGAGGGAGCUAGCGUUGUUCGGAAUUACUGGGCGUAAAGCGCGCGUAGGCGGCUUUGUAAGUUAGAGGUGAAAGCCCGGAGCUCAACUCCGGAACUGCCUUUAAAACUGCAUCGCUUGAAUCCAGGAGAGGUGAAUGGAAUUCCGAGUGUAGAGGUGAAAUUCGUAGAUAUUCGGAAGAACACCAGUGGCGAAGGCGGCUCACUGGACUGGUAUUGACGCUGAGGUGCGAAAGCGUGGGGAGCAAACAGG